GUCCUCCGGAUUGGGACCUCAAUCGAGAUCGGAUCCGGCACUGCCACCUUGUUCUGGUUCGACAGAUGGACUGGCGGUAUGCCCCUCGGGGCCCGCUUUCUCGACCUAUUCUCCAUAGCGGUUGCCCCACAGAUCUCGGUCGCGGCAGCCCUUAUUGACUUAGGGAAACUCGCGUUCUAGAGGCCUUUUGGCCCGGCUGAGACCGCCGACUGGCACGAGCUGCUCGACUGCAUUGUCUUGCACGCGCCGGAACUUACGAUCGAAGAUGACAACACCAGUUGGCGGUUAGAGCCUUUUGGACAUUUCUCCACCAAGUCUCUUUACCAGGCCAUCGCCCCCUCGCCUGGCCAUGAGGCGCUCACCUCCAUCUGGGAGAUUCUCCAUGCACUAAAAAUUAGGAUCUUCUUAUGGCAAUGGAUCCGCGGCCGCCUCCCGUCUGGCAUGGAGGUCCUGAAGCGUAAUGGCCCGGGUGAUGGGCGAUGCCCGCUCUGCGGGCCGGAAGAGUAUUCGAAUCAUAUCUUCUUCACCUGCGUGUCCGCGCAGUUCUUAUGGAGUUGUUUCCGCGAGAUAGCAGGUGGAAGCUGGGACCACAACAACUUUCCCGCUCUCUUCGCCGAACUCCAAGCGAUCCCACCCGUAGUGCGCCACAUUAGGUGGCUAGCCAUUUGGGUGCUGGCCUGGACGCUGUGGACUGUUAGGAAUAAACUUGUGAUUCAGCGCAUUCCUCUUCGUCGUGCUACUGACGAUUUGCUCAAAUGGUCUGAUUACUUGCAGCUUUGGCGGCCGCUUAGCCGCCCCAGAAAGAGAGACGCCAUCAUCUCCAUCAUCACCUAG
rnacentral:rRNA from 1 species